rnacentral:rRNA from 1 species
CCUANGGGGUGCAGCAGUGGGGAAUUGUUCACAAUGGGCGCAAGCCUGAUGACGCAACGCCGCGUGGGGGAUGAAGGUCUUCGGAUCGUAAACCCCUGUCGAAUGGGACGAAUAGCUUUCGGAUUAAUACCCCGGAGGAAUGACGGUACCGUUAAAGGAAGCCACGGCUAACUCUGUGCCAGCAGCCGCGGUAAUACAGAGGUGGCAAGCGUUGUUCGGAAUUACUGGGCGUAAAGCGUGCGCAGGCGGUUAUGCAAGACAGAUGUGAAAUCCCCGGGCUCAACCUGGGAACUGCAUUUGUGACUGCAUGGCUAGAGUGCGGCAGAGGGGGAUGGAAUUCCGCGUGUAGCAGUGAAAUGCGUAGAUAUGCGGAGGAACACCGAUGGCGAAGGCAAUCCCCUGGGCCUGCACUGACGCUCAUGCACGAAAGCGUGGGGAGCAAACAGGAUUAGAUACCCCUNUANUC